rnacentral:sRNA from 1 species
GUUUUUAGUGUCUGUGCUUGUGGUCGGUAACUUUUGCUGCUGUUGUUCUGCUGCUGUCUGCCAUUCCAUUUGCCAUCUAUCACGCACACAGAACCCUGGCCAGGAUCAUGAAAGGCGAUUGAAAAGGUGGCUGUACUUUUGAUGAUGGUCCAGGGGCCUGUGAUUACCACCAGGAUCUGUAUGAUGACUUUGAAUGGGUGCAUGUUAGUGCUCAAGAGCCUCAUUAUCUACCACCCGAGAUGCCCCAAGGUUCCUAUAUGAUAGUGGACUCUUCAGAUCACGACCCUGGAGAAAAAGCCAGACUUCAGCUGCCUACAAUGAAGGAGAACGACACUCACUGCAUUGAUUUCAGUUACCUAUUAUAUAGCCAGAAAGGACUGAAUCCUGGCACUUUGAACAUAUUAGUUAGGGUGAAUAAAGGACCUCUUGCCAAUCCAAUUUGGAAUGUGACUGGAUUCACGGGUAGAGAUUGGCUUCGGGCUGAGCUAGCAGUGAGCACCUUUUGGCCCAAUGAAUAUCAGGUAAUAUUUGAAGCUGAAGUCUCAGGAGGGAGAAGUGGUUAUAUUGCCAUUGAUGACAUCCAAGUACUGAGUUAUCCUUGUGAUAAAUCUCCUCAUUUCCUCCGUCUAGGGGAUGUAGAGGUGAAUGCAGGGCAAAACGCUACAUUUCAGUGCAUUGCCACAGGGAGAGAUGCUGUGCAUAACAAGUUAUGGCUCCAGAGACGAAAUGGAGAAGAUAUACCAGUA